UACGAAGGGGGCUAGCGUUGCUCGGAAUCACUGGGCGUAAAGCGCACGUAGGCGGAUUGCUAAGUCAGGGGUGAAAUCCUGGAGCUCAACUCCAGAACUGCCUUUGAUACUGGCGAUCUUGAGUCCGGGAGAGGUGAGUGGAACUGCGAGUGUAGAGGUGAAAUUCGUAGAUAUUCGCAAGAACACCAGUGGCGAAGGCGGCUCACUGACCCGGUACUGACGCUGAGGUGCGAAAGCGUGGGGAGCAAACAGG
rnacentral:rRNA from 1 species